AGGGACAGGAGCACACACCAUGAUUUCACACAUCCAGCUGAUCUGGCCCCUGGCAUUCUGUGUUGCAGGUAUCAGUGGGGACAUCACCAUGACCCAGUCUCCCCCGGUGCUGUCAGUGGGACUGGGCCAGACCGCAACCAUCACCUGUACGGCCAGUCAAAGCAUUAGCAGCUACCUUGCUUGGUACCAGCAGCGAGAAGGUCAGAAACCCUCUCUCCUGAUCUAUUAUGCAACAACUCGAUUCACAGGAGUCUCGGAGCGAUUCACUGGCAGUGGAUCAGGGACCAGUUUCACCCUGAAAAUCAGCAACGUUCAGAAUGAGGAUGUGGCUGACUAUUACUGUCAGCAAGGUGACAGCUGGCCGCUUACGUUCGGUAAAGGAACCAAGCUCAGACUGAGCCGUGACAACUCUCAGCCCAAGCUGACCCUGCUGCCCCCCUCCCCGGAGCAGGUCAGUGCCAAGGGCACUGCCACCCUGGUGUGCCUUGCCAAUCACUUCUAUCCCGAUGAGCUGGAGGUGCAGUGGAAGAAGGACGGCAGCCCGGUGUUUGGCACAAGUGGGCAGGAAGAUUUGGCCAAAUGCCUGGCAGAGUUAAAAUUGAGUCACAAGGCACUCGAUGACCUGGUAGAUGACCAAGAUUGGUUUGAUGAGGACUUUGGGCUGAGCUGUAGCAAAGUGCAGCAGCCAGUGCAGGAGGCCCAGUCUUCAAAAGGAUGUGCCUCUGAAAAUCCAAAGGGAACCUGA